rnacentral:rRNA from 1 species
UACGUAGGUGGCAAGCGUUGUCCGGAUUUAUUGGGCGUAAAGCGAGCGCAGGCGGUUUCUUAAGUCUGAUGUGAAAGCCCCCGGCUCAACCGGGGAGGGUCAUUGGAAACUGGGAGACUUGAGUGCAGAAGAGGAGAGUGGAAUUCCAUAUGUAGCGGUGAAAUGCGUAGAUAUAUGGAGGAACACCAGUGGCGAAGGCGGCUCUCUGGUCUGUAACUGACGCUGAGGCUCGAAAGCGUGGGGAGCAAACAGG